rnacentral:tRNA from 1 species
GCGCGGGUGGUGGAAUGGCAGACACGCAAGCAUGAGGGGCUUGUGCCGAAAGGCUUGGGGGUUCAACUCCCCCCUCGCGCACUA